rnacentral:rRNA from 1 species
GACGAACGCUGGCGGCGUGCUUAACACAUGCAAGUCGAACGGAAAGGCCUGCUUUCCCUUGUGGAUUGCGGGUACUCGAGUGGCGAACGGGUGAGUAACACGUGAGUGAUCUGCCCCCAACUUGGGUAUAAGCCUGGGAAACUGGGUCUAAUUCCCGAUAGGACUGCAGGGUGGUGCCUGUGGUGGAAAACGAUUUUCUAGUGGUUGGGGAUGAGCUCGCGGCCUAUCAGCUUGUUGGUGGGGUAAUGGCCUACCAAGGCGGCGACGGGUAGCCGGCCUGAGAGGGUGGACGGCCGCAUUGGGACUGGGAUACGGCCCAGACUCCUACGGGAGGCAGCAGUGGGGAAUAUUGCACAAUGGGCGGGAGCCUGAUGCAGCGACGCCGCGUGGGGGAUGACGGCCUUCGGGUUGUAAACUCCUUUCGACCGCGAGGAAGCCACCUGGUUGGAAGGGUGGUGACGGUAGUGGUAGAAGAAGCACCGGCUAACUACGUG